AACCUUAUGGACCUGCGGGCGUAUACCUGCGGAAGGAUCAUUAAUAAAUGUUACUUCGGUAACUUAAUUAAUCCCUAACACCUGUGCAUCUUGUCGCUUCGGCGUCAUUUUAUAAACAUCAGUGUAAUGAAUGUAACGUAUUAUAACAAAUACAACUUUCAGCAACGGAUCU
rnacentral:misc_RNA from 1 species